GACGAACGCUGGCGGCGUGCCUAAUACAUGCAAGUCGAACGCACAGUUUAUACCGUAGCUUGCUACACCAUAAACUGUGAGUUGCGAACGGGUGAGUAACGCGUAGGUAACCUGCCUGGUAGCGGGGGAUAACUAUUGGAAACGAUAGCUAAUACCGCAUAAUAUUGAUUAUUGCAUGAUAAUUGAUUGAAAGAUGCUAUUGCAUCACUACCAGAUGGACCUGCGUUGUAUUAGCUGGUAGGUGAGGUAACGGCUCACCUAGGCGACGAUACAUAGCCGACCUGAGAGGGUGAUCGGCCACACUGGGACUGAGACACGGCCCAGACUCCUACGGGAGGCAGCAGUAGGGAAUCUUCGGCAAUGGACGAAAGUCUGACCGAGCAACGCCGCGUGAGUGAAGAAGGUUUUCGGAUCGUAAAGCUCUGUUGUAAGAGAAGAACGGGUGUGAGAGUGGAAAGUUCACACUGUGACGGUAUCUUACCAGAAAGGGACGGCUAACUACGUG
rnacentral:rRNA from 1 species